UACGUAGGUGGCGAGCGUUGUCCGGAUUUACUGGGCGUAAAGAGCGCGCAGGCGGUCGUUCAAGUCGCGUGUGAAAGCCCCCGGCUCAACUGGGGAGGGUCACGCGAUACUGAUCGACUCGAAGGCAGGAGAGGGAAGUGGAAUUCCCGGUGUAGUGGUGAAAUGCGUAGAUAUCGGGAGGAACACCAGUGGCGAAGGCGGCGACCUGGGCCAAUAGUUGACGCAUGAG
rnacentral:rRNA from 1 species